rnacentral:rRNA from 1 species
GACGAACGCUGGCGGCGUGCCUAAUACAUGCAAGUAGAACGCUGAAGGAGGAGCUUGCUUCUCCGGAUGAGUUGCGAACGGGUGAGUAACGCGUAGGUAACCUGCCUGGUAGCGGGGGAUAACUAUUGGAAACGAUAGCUAAUACCGCAUAACAGUAGAUAUUGCAUGAUAUCUGCUUGAAAGGUGCAAAUGCAUCACUACCAGAUGGACCUGCGUUGUAUUAGCUAGUUGGUGAGGUAACGGCUCACCAAGGCGACGAUACAUAGCCGACCUGAGAGGGUGAUCGGCCACACUGGGACUGAGACACGGCCCAGACUCCUACGGGAGGCAGCAGUAGGGAAUCUUCGGCAAUGGACGGAAGUCUGACCGAGCAACGCCGCGUGAGUGAAGAAGGUUUUCGGAUCGUAAAGCUCUGUUGUAAGAGAAGAACGAGUGUGAGAGUGGAAAGUUCACACUGUGACGUAUCUACCAGAAAGGACG